rnacentral:misc_RNA from 1 species
GACAAGCAUAUGACUACUGGCAGGAUCAACCAGGUAGCACGUCCUCUUUGACAUCCAGCGUCGGUAGUUGCCCUCCCAUCCACUUGCGUGGCAAGGCAGAGCCAACUACCGAGCUAGUUGUCGCAAUUGAGCGGGCCUAGCUCGUCCUACUUGUAUGAGGAUCGGCACAGUAUGUUGCGUAAUCCUACCACUAACUGUGGAGAGGUAGAGGCAACACAUGUUCCGGUUGUUCUCAAAUUCGGAGAGCGUUAUUAGGGUCAGGACGAGGCAACCAAAAAUGCCCAUGAUCCUAUAUCAUGAGCAACAUCCAAAACCAACAGCGAGAGCGAGGCUGCCUUGAUAGCACCAGGCACAAAAACAUGCCGGGCCAAGAGGAAACGCCGCAAGCGCCAUAUGGCCGCAGUAGCACACCCAAAGGCGUCCACCGCGAGUCAACUUUGUAUGAAGCACCACUUCCCGUAGGUCGGGUAACAUCACGCAAGCACCCGAAAGGCAACUGUAAGAUAUCUCACAAGAAUGAGAAGACACGGCGCCAAUAGUCGGCCGCACAAAGACGGGGGACCUACCAGCAGACACGGGUCCAAAACAGCUCAUGCGCUCGCGUAGCCA